CCUACGGGAGGCAGCAGUGAGGAAUAUUGGUCAAUGGACGAGAGUCUGAACCAGCCAAGUAGCGUGAAGGAUGACUGCCCUAUGGGUUGUAAACUUCUUUUAUAUGGGAAUAAAAUGUUCCACGUGUGGGAUUUUGUAUGUACCAUAUGAAUAAGGAUCGGCUAACUCCGUGCCAGCAGCCGCGGUAAUACGGAGGAUCCGAGCGUUAUCCGGUUUUAUUGGGUUUAAAGGGAGCGUAGGUGGAUUGUUAAGUCAGUUGUGAAAGUUUGCGGCUCAACCGUAAAAUUGCAGUUGAAACUGGCAGUCGUGAGUACAGUAGAGGUGGGCGGAAUUCGUGGUGUAGCGGUGAAAUGCUUAGAUAUCACGAAGAACUCCGAUUGCGAAGGCAGCUCACUGGACUGCAACUGACACUGAGGCUCGAAAGUGUGGGUAUCAAACAGGAUUAGAUACCCCAGUAGUC
rnacentral:rRNA from 1 species